ACUUUUAGAAAAAAAGAUUUUUUUUCUACCAGAGUAGUUCCCCAUCGUACACUUACCAACAUCAAUUUGCCACAGAACAUCAAACUCCGCAAAGCAAUAAGUACGCUUAUGUACAGCUGUCAAUAUUAGAGCGACGGUAAGCACGAUGUCAUAUGAUCAUUUAAAACGUGUGUGUUUGCCACCCAUUCCAAUACUUAAAAAAACCCUCCGACAUGUGACUGUUCCCACUCGCCUUAUAAUUACAGCCCCUCUUGUCAUGUUACAACUGGAGAUCUAAACAUAAUUCAACA
rnacentral:lncRNA from 1 species